CAUCGACGUCUUCUUCAGUUUAAGUGUGCUCACGGAGCACAUGAGAAGCAAACAAAUCGGUAUAUGUGGCCACCCUUGGAAAAAAUGAUUAAUCAUCUCUUCUUACUGGGUCAAAGGUGAAAUGAGGAAAGAGUUUGUUGGAGUUAUUU
ensembl:ncRNA F29F11.16 ncRNA